rnacentral:lncRNA from 1 species
CUCUCCCAGGUGUCUGGAGGAGGGCAUCGAGGCUUCUCAGAACUUAAAUUUAAAAAUGCAAGCUGAGUAUGAAUGUGACAGCAACGGAAAUCUGUCUAGCAAUGCCUUACAUUGUGAAAUAGCUGUCAUUUACUGGAAACUUGCUGUGUAACAGCAAGCAUUUCAGUAGGUCAUUCAUUCACUCGACUGAGAUUUAUCGAACACCUACUACUACACGCCAGCCCCCAAGGAUGCCAUCGUGAAACCCUCCUCCACAAGAUCCCUAGGUGGAGUGUAUCGAAACCAUUGCUACAGCUGGAUAAUUGAAGCUCAAGGAGAAGUGACUUGCUAAGGACGUAUACCUAAUACCUGGCAGAGUUGGGUUUCAAAACCAGGCCCAUCUCGCGAAAAAUCUGGCUAUGCAUCGGCAGGGUUAGAAGGAGAUCUUCCCACGGAGCACCACCCCAAGCCUGCAUACAUGUCCCAGAGGACCCAUGGUUAGGGGCAGAGUCCCAACUUGACUGGAGCCACCUGUUCCCUCCUUCUUGUCCAGAAGGAACCAGAACAUUUGCGCCACAC